GCAAUGCCCAGAGAGGCUGAUGGGAACAGUGGCAAGCUCUGCCUUUGCUUACGUCAAAUGAAAGAAAGAGCCGUUAGUCCGUCUAGAACGAAACCGCACUCCCUGGCUUGAACAUGGUCGCAUGCGGUUGGACACAUGGAGGAGAGAAUCAUUUUCGCAGUAUCCUCAAAACCGUGUCUUUUUGACACAACUGCUGACAGCUACAGGGAUAUAAACACAAAAAAUGCUGCUUGGAGACAAGUGUCCACGAUAGUAGGAUUGCCAGGACUUUGAAGGGCCCACACACUGCGGCCCCAGCUUCCGGCAGGGCAAGCAGAGGGGCAGGUUCCGGGUCGAGAGCCAGACCCUGUCCCCCGGUACGAACAUGGGGGCCUCACUGCGGUGGCGGUCAGCACUCCUCUUCUGCCGUCCACUGUCUUGCUUCAGAGAUUCCUGGACGGCUCUCCAGGUCUCCUUG
rnacentral:lncRNA from 1 species